rnacentral:lncRNA from 1 species
AUGCUAAACAGGUUAGCCGCCAGUCCUACUUAUAACUGUUUUUCCCAACGUUUAGACGCCACAGAAAAACUGUUGCAGAAACAAAAUGAUAGAAAUGUGGAUGAAAUAAUUGAAAAUCUCUUCAGUGACGCUUCAAGCUUGGAUGCUUCCUCCCUGACUGAGGCUGCAGCCCCACAGGUGGAAGAAAAUGCCAUCCAGCUGUGGAACUGGGCCGUGACAAAACACGUGGGUUCGGCAAUAAAUGAGCAACAAAAAGCAAAAGUUCGUCAUGUGGCAUGCAGAUUGCUGUAUGCCUGCGAGCCUCAAGAGCCCUCAGAAAGCACACUUCGGAAACAGGUCUUGGUGAGUUAACAGUGUCUCCUAGAGAUCCUUAAUCUCUGUGGUGCCCCACUUUAGUGUUGCCUUUCUAAAGAAGUCGGUGGAGUGAGAUUAUCUUCCUAGCUUCGUUUCAGCUUCACUGAAAAUCCAGUGAUGUAUACUACAGGCCUUUUCUAAAGCCUUGAACCUAGAUUUCAUGGUGCCUCAAUUUAAAGUAAGUUGAAUAAGACAAACAGGCACUAUGAUAUACUCUAAUUUGAUAGUCUAAUAUUGUAUCUGUGCAGAUGGCCACCAAGGCUGGUAGAACAUGGCUGGACUGCAAAAAUCCUGUGCUGGCUAAUGAUUUUCUCAACCUUGCUGCAAAGGUAAUUCUGUGGUGGGAGUGCAGGGAAUUGAAGCUUUGUACCAUUGUUCUUCACAUCACAGAAUUAUGCACGUGUUAAGGAUUUGUUUGCGAUGAAAGAUUAUACAGUGACCAUGUACUAUUUUCAUACACGCAUGUGGCGCUUCAGUGAAUAUAGUUAAGGCUUUGAUUUAUUUUGCUCUGAAGGUUGAUCAGUACAGUUAAUGUGUCCUCACCAAGUUAAAGGUGUAUCUCCUAAUGGAUAUACUUGUACGACACCUGUUUUUCAUUGAUGUAAACAUUAAAGUUUUGCCAGAUUACCUUUUUGAAAUAAUUCCACUUAGCAGAAGUUUUGUAAGAAGCAUUAAAUGAAAGUUGAAUGUCUAUAUUCUAACGCUUGUACCUAAUCCUGGAUGCUUCUGUACUUGUGACUGCCCUACAUUAUGUAUAAUAUUGUCAGAGCAUGGAGACCUUGUACAAUAGACUCACAAAUCGUGGCAAUGGAAAGAUGGACAUCAACAUCCCAAAAGGAGAAGUGGAAAAGGAUCUUUUUCGAGUACUGACAUACCAGGCUGAAUCAGUGAGCAUGUAUUAAAUGUGUAAUUGAUUGUAGCUAUAAUUUUUCUGAGAAAUUAUGCAAUGCCAAUACUGAUGUUUGGAAACUUAUACAGCGUUAUUAAAAGAUGUUUA